rnacentral:rRNA from 1 species
GAUGAACGCUGGCGGCGUGCCUAAUACAUGCAAGUCGAGCGAACGGACGAGAAGCUUGCUUCUCUGACGUUAGCGGCGGACGGGUGAGUAACACGUGGAUAACCUACCUAUAAGACUGGGAUAACUUCGGGAAACCGGAGCUAAUACCGGAUAAUAUUUUGAACCGCAUGGUUCAAAAGUGAAAGACGGUCUUGCUGUCACUUAUAGAUGGAUCCGCGCUGCAUUAGCUAGUUGGUAAGGUAACGGCUUACCAAGGCGACGAUGCAUAGCCGACCUGAGAGGGUGAUCGGCCACACUGGAACUGAGACACGGUCCAGACUCCUACGGGAGGCAGCAGUAGGGAAUCUUCCGCAAUGGGCGAAAGCCUGACGGAGCAACGCCGCGUGAGUGAUGAAGGUCUUCGGAUCGUAAAACUCUGUUAUUAGGGAAGAACAUAUGUGUAAGUAACUGUGCACAUCUUGACGGUACCUAAUCAGAAAGCCACGGCUAACUACGUG